UACGUAGGGGGCAAGCGUUGUCCGGAUUUAUUGGGCGUAAAGAGCGUGUAGGCGGUUUGGUAGGUCCGUUGUGAAAACUCGGGGCUCAACCUCGAGACGCCGAUGGAAACCAUCAGACUAGAGUCCGGAAGAGGAGAGUGGAAUUCCUGGUGUAGCGGUGAAAUGCGCAGAUAUCAGGAAGAACACCCGUGGCUAAGGCGGCUCUCUAGUACGGUACUGACGCUGAGACGCGAAAGCGUGGGGAGCGAACAGG
rnacentral:rRNA from 1 species